AAAUAUCUUCAGGGCGAGGUGAAAAUCCUUGACCGGCGGUAAAGUCCGCGAGUUCGAAAGAACCGAAUUGGUUAGAUUCCAAUACCGACAGUAUAGUCUGGAUGAAAGAAGAUUGCA
rnacentral:ncRNA from 2 species